rnacentral:lncRNA from 1 species
UGGGAUCCUUCACGCACCCAAAAACUCUACGCGAACGCAAUCCUGGAACGCGAACGCGAAGGCCAAAAAUCAUGUCCCUCAAACUCCUUCUAUGCAUUUGCGACUCACCCAUGCGAACGCGAAGAACAACCUUCUGCAACAACAACAACUGAAGAAUCAGCAGUCCUUAAGGUCCAAAAAUGGUCCAACUGACCAUCCGAAAUCACCCCGGAUCAAAUUCUCACCCAUCGACCGGAAUUCGCCAAAAUACUAACUUCGCCAAUUCAAGACAAAUUCUACACCAGGCCUCCAAAAUCAAUUCCG